CUGAAGACAAUAAUAUAUAAAAAAAAGUCCAUAAAUUCCGUGUGGAAUUUUAGUGCAUUCUAAAGGACAGAAAACUAUUGAUGUGGCUUUGUCUGUCC